rnacentral:rRNA from 1 species
GAUGAACGCUGGCGGCGUGCCUAAUACAUGCAAGUCGAGCGAACAGAUGAGGAGCUUGCUCCUCUGACGUUAGCGGCGGACGGGUGAGUAACACGUGGAUAACCUACCUAUAGGACUGGGAUAACUUCGGGAAACCGGAGCUAAUACCGGAUAAUAUAUUGAACCGCAUGGUUCAAUAGUGAAAGACGGUUUUGCUGUCACUUAUAGAUGGAUCCGCGCCGCAUUAGCUAGUUGGUAAGGUAACGGCUUACCAAGGCGACGAUGCGUAGCCGACCUGAGAGGGUGAUCGGCCACACUGGAACUGAGACACGGUCCAGACUCCUACGGGAGGCAGCAGUAGGGAAUCUUCCGCAAUGGGCGAAAGCUUGACGGAGCAACGCCGCGUGAGUGAUGAAGGUCUUCGGAUCGUAAAACUCUGUUAUUAGGGAAGAACAAAUGUGUAAGUAACUAUGCACGUCUUGACGGUACCUAAUCAGAAAGCCACGGCUAACUACGUG